CAUUAAGAAGCUAUGAACCAGCGUUAGCCUUUUAAGCUAAAGAGAGAGGUAACCCGCCUCCUUAAUGA
rnacentral:tRNA from 1 species